CGGCCAUUCCAGGGUACAAAGUACGUGAAACUGCUUAGAGGUUAAACCCGAUGAACCUAAAUAUCCAGUAUGAGAAAGUCAUUAUUAUGAGUAUAUUAUUUUAUAAUGUAUUAAUAGUGUGCAUUUUUUUCAUAAAAAGGACAUUGUAAUCUGUUAAUACAAUUUAUAUAUUCUUUUAUAUAUUAUUUUUAUCAUAAAGAGUCAUGUAUAAGUUUACAUAUAAAUUAAUUAAUUUAUUAAUUAAUUGAUGUAAGAUCGAUGAAUUUCUAGAUAAAUAGUUAACAGUAUUAAAAUAUAUAAUGCUUACAUAAUUUUUUAUGUUUUAUAUAUAAUAUGUACAUGUACAUAUAUAUGUUUUUGCAUUUAUAUUAUAACAAUGCUAUAGAUUUAGGUACUGCAGUUUG
rnacentral:rRNA from 1 species